rnacentral:rRNA from 1 species
AAUGAACGCUGGCGGCAGGCCUAACACAUGCAAGUCGAACGGAUCCUUCGGGAUUAGUGGCGGACGGGUGAGUAACGCGUGGGAACAUACCCUUUGGUACGGAAUAGCCUCGGGAAACUGGGAGUAAUACCGUAUGUGGUCGAGAGACGAAAGAUUUAUCGCCAAAGGAUUGGCCCGCGUUGGAUUAGGUAGUUGGUGGGGUAAUGGCCUACCAAGCCGACGAUCCAUAGCUGGUUUGAGAGGAUGAUCAGCCACACUGGGACUGAGACACGGCCCAGACUCCUACGGGAGGCAGCAGUGGGGAAUCUUAGAUAAUGGGGGAAACCCUGAUCUAGCCAUGCCGCGUGAUCGAUGAAGGCCUUAGGGUUGUAAAGAUCUUUCAGGUGGGAAGAUAAUGACUGUACCACCAGAAGAAGCCCCGGCUAACUCCGUGCCAGCAGCCGCUGUAA